UUUCUAAAUCUUAAUAUUAUCAACUUCUCUUUCUUCUCUCAUUUCAGAAUAUUUUUUCAACAUUUUCAUAUUUCAGAGACAAUCAAAUAACACCUACCUCAGAUUUAGUGUCAUUCUCACUGCAGGCAUACUGCACAGGAGCAAAAUAAAAACUAGUUUGUUUAUAGAAAAUAUCUCUUUGUUUAUUCUUUAGAGCAUUCAUUGAAAUGUUUUUGUUAUGGGGGGGGGGGCUUGUUUUUAUUUAACGAUAUUUAACAAUUCAUUCUUAAUCUUGAUUUAGUGUUAGGCAUUAUCUAAUUUAUUAUCCUCGGGUUUUUUAUUCUGAAAAAUUGUGUACCCUUGAAAAAAAAACCUUGAUCUGGUCAAACCAGUGAUUUUUACUUUUCUGUGUCGUAAAACUUAUUAUUUUCCCCUUAACAACAAAAACUAUUAAUUACACAUUAAUAUCCGCGAGCAUUGUUAAACAUGACAUCAGUAUGGAAUUUAUUGUACGCACUCUGUUUUAACUUGAAUUUUUUAUAAAAGCUAUAGCGUACCGGCAACUAAUGUGCUAGUUCUUUAUUAUUCAAUAUAUACAAUAUUGUAUAAUGCUACUCAAUCAAGGUUGCAUAAAAUCUCCCCCCCCCCCAUGCAGCAUAUUAAA